GAUUAAUUUCCCUACAAAAUCCACCAAACCAUUAAGAGGAUCGGACCCUGGAUAACUCUACAGCCUCCAAGUUCAGCCCCAAAAGCCUUCAAGCCAAGCUCUGAGAAUCCUUCGGUUUACUCUUCCUCUUUGUCUUCGAUUUUCUUCAAAGAGAGUUAUGUGGAUGGGGAUGGGAAACAAGAUGAAAUUGUUGAUCAGGGUUGAGGAGAACGUGAUGGAGAGGAAGAUAGAUACUAAGGCCAUGGCUUGUCGAUAUUGAAGGCAGAUAUUGAAGGCAGAUAGAGAAGAGUGGUGUUAGGAAUGUGACCUGAAAAUUGAGGGCACAAGAGAUGGCAGUGAUUCAGAAAAGAGAGGAGGAAUACAAACGAGUUUAGAGCUAAGAAGAGAUUGUGUUUUCUAUAAAUAAGAUAUUUAUGUUUUGUAAUUCAUAACAGAUUCUUAGCACUAGAUACUACUAGCCAAAUGAUGCUCUGAAAGAUUGGAAACGAUAUGAUUUUGUUUUAAUAUAUUUAUGCUUUGUGAUUUUGUUUUAA